AACGGUGAUUAAUACUAGAUAUACCUUUAUAACAUAAGUUGUAAAGGGAAACGUUUUUUCGCUUUGAGAUCAGACUAUAUCCCAUCAGUUAGUUGGUAGUGUAAGAGACUACCAAGGCAAUGACGGGUAGCGGGUUUGAGAGGAUGAUCCGCCACACUGGUACUGAGACACGGACCAGACUCCUACGGGAGGCAGCAGUGAGGAAUAUUGCACAAUGGAGGAAACUCUGAUGCAGCAACGCCGCGUGGAGGAUGACGCAUUUCGGUGUGUAAACUCCUUUUAUAUGUCAAGAAAAUGACGGUAGCAUAUGAAUAAGCACCGGCUAACUCCGUGCC
rnacentral:rRNA from 1 species